UCUUGGAAGACCAGGCAGGGUCCUCACUGCCACGUUUCACGGAGACCGUUGGUCACAAGGGGAUCACCCUAACUCAAGCAAGGGUUUAAGGUAACAGAGAGAACACAACUCUCGAGCAAAAGGGGGUUUAGAAGAUUAGAUUGGAGCGUCAGAGGUGAUGAGGGGGUGUUGUCAUCCUAAGAAGGAACGCCAUCCCGCGGGGCGCCACGAGGUAGAGUUCAAGCAUCCACGUCGGUUGAACUCUAAACAGAGGGGUGAGCGAUGUCUGGCCCGACGAGUAGGAACGCCGUCAUGAAAGACUAGAUUUUAGAAGACGGAUGGGUUUAGGUGAUUUCCGGAAAACGUGUUCGAUCCACACGCUAGUAUUUUGUUGUUUAGGGAUCACUUUAUGCUUAGAGUAUCUCUCCUUCCUCCUCCUCCACCACCAGGCCGUCACACCGGCUCGGAGACCCGACCGUUACCGCCGCCUUCUGUAACCUUUAGUUGACUUCUUUGCAGUGGACAGACUCCGUCUCUUCUUCUGUCAGUUCGACUUUAGACCGAGAUAUCCAUUUCUACCACGUCCAUUAGAGGCCUGUCAUCGCUUUUAAAAUAGUCUCUUUGUUCGGUCCGGCCUCCAAGAUCUUGUUUGUAACCCCCUUUAAACCUCAGGCCAAGUACCACAUCUAACGUUUCUAUACCCCGUCUUAUCUAAAUAAAAGUGGAAAUACUUGUUCUUCCCCUUUGGCUCUCGUUAUCUACUUCCUGGUACCAACAAAUUAUUGUCUCUAGAGUAACACUACCUCCUAAAACGACGAGCCUUCCGGUAUCUACUCAUACUUAAGUUUAUAUAGGGUUAGACCCACUCCCAUAUACCUCAAGGUGACCCACGCGAUUUAUUUCUUCGCCCCCUCUACCAACCUUCCUACUAUCCUUUCCACAAUCUGUACCUACACCUGCUUCUCCCUAGACGGAACUGACUUAUAAAUGCUUAAUUCCACUCUUAUCUAUAGUGUUUUGGAAACUACUCUAUACAUUGGUAGCUGCUACUCAGUCUAAGUCUACUCCUUUGUUACUUACGCUGUCUACCCCUCCUCUUACUUUGUCUUCACCCAUCUUAGACACUAGAAUUCAUACUCAAGGAAGGACACAAAACGAAAUUAACACCAUAGUAUCCGGUGUUGCUCUCCUUGACUGGUAGUCUUCAUUUUUCUUCGGGGGUUUAGAUACCUUUUACCAACUUUCAUGGGAAGGGUUUCUCUUCCCUACCACUUCUUCUUGUUCGGUUUAAAAAUUCACCGUCCAUACCUAGAACCUCCUCAUUAUCAACUCCAUCACCUCCCUCGUCAGUCCCAUCGCUGCGUUUUAGGACCUCAUUCUUGGACUUCCUCUCACUUUUAAAUCUCUUCCCCUUCUUUUUACUACUCCCCCUUCAGUGUUUAGGGGAUUAUCUUUUGGUUCUCCUAUUCAUAGACGUCCUCCUUUUUUCGAUCAAAAGAGCUGAGGAUCAUCUAUGCCGUAUGUCUUGGUUGAUGUUCUACAUCUAUGUCUAUUUUGAUCUUUAGUUUUACAACGUAACCCACUCCGGUGAAGAGGUCGACUCUACUAUUACCUGUGUCCUUCAUCCUUGUUCCUUCUUCCCGUACUCCCCUUCCUCUGGGUUCUCGGAUGGUUAUCACUUCCUUUUCCUGUCUGUCAUUUUCGCUGACUAAACCCUUCCGUCCCUCUUGUCCUUUUUCGUUGAUGAAUGUACGAUUCAUCUUCAGUCUUCGGAAACACACUCCGAUCAUUUCCCCUAAGUUAAAAUUACAUACACCCUUGUCUUGGAGGAUUGGAGGUCCGAUCAUUUCCAUUCUCUUUGUGCAAGUUUUCCUACCGCGCGGGGUUAUGGUCGCUUGGAGUCGGGAGUGAGUCGGUCUUAUUUUUUUUCUUCUCCACGUCUAGACUACCUCUAGCUACUUUUGUUCCUCCACAACUUUUUCAGUUCUUACCUACAUCUCCCUCUCUUGCUUUUUGUUUGUUAUUCUGGGUAGAAACUUACACUUUGACCCGACGUGCCUGUCGGACCGCUCUGGUUUACUCCUAGUAUCGAACCUUGACGGCCCGUAACCCAUUACCCGGUCGUCAAGCUCCCGAAGACCUGGAGGUCUUCGCUCUCCUGGGGCUGUAGGAUAAGAACAGCCUCUGAUUCUCGCUGCUCUUCUCCUACUUUGUGUAGUCCACCAACAACCCUUACUUUGUGUACCAUCAGUUUCUUACGUCUCCCUUUUCGCCACCAAAUCGUGAAAAAACCUUUCUUCCAUAGGGCCACCUUGAGGUAUUAAUGAGUUUUAUAGUGUACCUACACCUUUAUCACCUUCUACUACCAAAAUUCACCUCCAACUGACCUUAAAUACCUCUUGAUCGUUCCCUAUUUUUCCUCUUAUGCACCUCCGAGUACUCUUUGAACUUGCGUAUUAACCUGUCUGGUACCAAUACGGAACCCCUAAAGUUGCUUUAUAAUAAAUUGGUACUUUUCUCUCCUCCUUUUGGUUACGGUGUUCAUACGAACCUAUUUAAAUCCCUUUGAGACCUUUAAACGCUGGACGUUCUGAACCCGAAGUAACCACUAUUCAUAUGUACCGCCUUAGUGUUAGUGAACCACGUCGUGAUGCAUUUUCUUUCCGAACUGGCUCGGCGCCGAAGGGGUUUAACCCGACGGUUUAAGGGAGUACAGUUUCACUAUUUGUCACUGGGUUCUGUGAGUCUGGUGGCGGGCCAGUAUCAGAUCUAACUCCCUUUCCUCCUGGCUCAUUCGAAACGAUCGGAUUUAUGGAAGUUUAAACUUCGCUUCACCAAUUCCCUCGUCCUAACACUUUUCUAACAUGUUUUACGUACCGUUCUUCGUGUUCUUCUUCCAUACUUACUACAUAAGGUCCCCAACUUCUUUCACCGUUGUUUAAAUUUUAUAACCUUGCGGUUGUUAGAACCCCUAAACUUAUUCUCCUAGUUUCUCCGGUUCUUCCUUAACCUUCUUCAGGCUUUCUUUCUGUAGAGUGGUCUAGUUCACCGAGCACUUCGUAAAGAUUCUCUUUUUGAUCUGGCUGAACUCAGUGUUGUUCUACAUAUAACCUUCGUCUCCCGUGUGUGUUUAACCGAUUUUCUUCCUCUGUUUUUAUGUGUAAUAAAAGUACACAAACGAAGACUUUCUUCUUUUUUCUUGUGUUAGUCCUUCAACUUCUUCCUGUUACCUCUAACCCAUCUUCCCUUAGUUGUCGAUUUCUCGAAUCACCUUCUGAUAAAAUGUCUGAAUAAAUGUAGGUGAUUAUCGUUGUUGUUACUAUUAUAGUGAUCUGUACAUGUACGAUCUCACCUGGCUGUAUACUUGCUCGACGACUCACGACUCAAGUGGUUCCUUCUUCAUUUCCGACGGUAUCUCAGUUAACCGCUAGAUUUCCGAGGUCCCGGACUACCCUACAGACGUUAUAAAAAGUUCUCUAAAACCGUGUAACACCCCCUUUUCCAAUGAGUACUCUAAGAUGUUAAAGAGUUUCCUCCACUGUACGGAUAACCUACCUUACUAUGUUACCACCAAGAUUAGGGGUUUUGUUUUGUUUUCCUCGCCUUGACGAUUAAUACGACGGAAUUUCGACCUGUACUCGUUGCGCAUGCUAACUCAGCUUACCUCAAAAAAAUUCUCUAUACUACCCCUUUUACCCUAAAUCGUGUACCACCUAGGCCAAUAAGUACUUUACACAAUGAUGCCACGUGAUAGUCUAUUUCCAGUUGGUACUACACUGUUUACAGUAAUGGGGAUCGUCUCCGGACUCUGUUCUUUCCUCGUUUUUCUAAGUUCCUUAUUUUUAGAGUUCUUCCCGAGGUUCACACUUGGUAGACGAGAAACGUCUACUAAGGAAUGAUGAUUACUUCCAGCUCCUAUCUUCGUACUUUCUUCACCUAGUUUAGAACUUCGUCAUACGUCUAAAGAGACCUGUUCAUUAAUUGUUUCUGUUUAGACGAUAGUACAAGUCGUUUUUAUGAGGAGCCCUCUUCUCUGUACGGUGUUACGUCUAAAACUUGGACUUAACACUUCGGUUUUGUCUCUUUAUGGACCCUAACGGGUAGAUAUAGCCUUUAAGUUUCAGUUUUUGUAAACGUAUGGAUUUCCUAUCCUAAACCUCUUUCUAGGUUCCAACCUUUCUUGCGUACGAUAGUUACCUACCGUUCCUUUAAGAUUAGUUUCGCCAUCGUGUUAGUCAUGGUUAGAUACGUUACCGCACGAAACUAGAGUGGUUUAGAGAUACACUAGUUUACUCGUUUUAUUAUACGUUCAUGAUCACCUCAGUCUACCUGUUUCUUUUAUCUUAGGUGACCUAGUCAACCCUGUUUGAGAGUGAAGCCUUCUCCCUACCACCUAACCCGAAGGCUCUGAAUAUGCGAAAGUUGGACCGUUACAACCGAGCGGUUCGAACCUCCUAGAACGUAUUAGGUAGGAGAGAUACACGGUCUCACGAGAGUCGCUUUAUGAAGGGUCUACCUUUAUAAAAUUUACGGUUUCCUCAGUCACCGUACAGGAUGCAGACCGCAUCGUAAGAUUUCCCGCAGUUUGAAGAUUUUGUACCAUAUUAUACCGCUCACCCCUUACCUUUAUUGUAUCUGUAGACCUUACUAGGAACCUAGGGUUCUCCGUGGUGCUCUGCGUGGUACUGGGUGUUUCCAGCUGUAGAACACUUGUUUCAAAGCCUCGACUACCUGGGUUAGUUACCUCCCACCCUACACCGUGACCAUGUUGUUUGGAAGAAAGGUCUUCUACAUCUUCGGUAGAAUGUCUAAGGUCAUUUACUUCUCCUCCUUCUGAUACACCGGACCGUGAAACUGUUCUUUACAAGUAAGAGCCAGUUCAGACGUAUAUUCCACCGGUAUCUAUAACUGUAAGUGUUUGGUCGAGUUUCAUCGUGGAGUUGUAGUUUAUCCCCUCUGUCUUCUCUCUUGAAACUGAUCUUGUUUUAAACCUUUGAGGGUGACGGGUUGUUUCACUUUGUAAAAUAAACCUCUAAACGUUUAGUAUCAGACGGAAAGACUGGUUUUGAUUCCUCUUCUCCUCACUUACAGCUAGAAUUUACGGGUCACACGUUGGCUCAACUACUCCUACCUCCUGUGAUAAAGAAGUUUACGUUUGGUCAGUUCCUCAAUACCUCUUCGAAACUCACCCUUUUGUAUGCUGUUCUCGAACAUUGGAUGGUUUCGGGUUCCGUACAGGAUGUCCUUUAAAAGAUCUACCUCCUGUUCCAUACGAGAUUUUAGACGUGGUACAAUACCGAAACCACCAAACUUUCUUUGUUUCGUGUGAGUCCCCUUUCCUAUUCUCCAACAUUACUUUAGGUUCGAAGGUAACUUUAGGUGACGUCUCUUAAACUCCUCCUUGCCUUAUUUCUCCUUUUUUAAUGGAUUUGAAGGGACGAGCCUGUUUACCUUCGGAGGAGGUGGAUUACAAGACUUCUAUUUAUGACUACCACGCAUACAACUUUUAAGAGUGUUUCCACCUACCCCUAUACACGAAUCUUUACUGUUUCCUCUCCACAACCGUCGUCCACGUCCUAGAUACGUCGUAUAAAGACUUCGAUAAGUACGUUUUUCAGAUCGUGAGGAGGUCCGUUAGUUGUACCGUUUACUCGACCCUACAUUGGCUAAUUAAAAACUUUGGCUACGAAAACAUGACUUUGUUCGUUAUUACUCACUUCGAAUGCUGUUGAGUUCCGUACCUCGUGACAAAUUUCUUUAGUUUUGUAAUGACGUAUGUAUGAAACUACUACGUUCACAAUUUACCACAUUAGCAAGGACGUUGAGACAACGAGUAUUACAUCGCAGGAAACCGCGACCAAACCUUAAUCCAUCGGUUGUUGUCGAUCCACAUAAAGGUUUGAAACAUUUACAACGCCACCGACCGCUACACGGUGUGACAUAAUACAUUAUAUAUAAGACCAUAAAGGUCAAAUUUUUUUUUUCAAGCCGGCCUCUGAACCACAACGUUCAAGCUUAGGACCGCUCGGCGAAAAAAAAAAAACGCGAAAAGACGGGAAACGCAAGCGCCCGGCCGGGUUGUUACGCGGCGUCUACCGGACAGCUGGCUGGCUGGGUAGGGGCAGCGGACAGGAUGUUUUGGGAUCGGAGAGGGAGGAGCGGCGGAGGAAGUUGGCGGAGGAGAGUAGAGUGCCUUUGUUUGUCCCCUUUUGGUAGGUCUCUCGAAGUGGGUCGCGCGCUACCCCUUCUUCUUCCUCGCCAGUCACUUACACAGCCCGUUCGGGGCAGUGAGAGAGCUGCAGUUGGCGGGGUUACUGUUCUUCCCACGACCGCCGCCGCCGCCGCGGCCGCCCUCGGCCAGGCGCCGGUGCCACGCCGCCGAGUUCUACAUGUUUGAUUCCGGGUACUCCCUGGCGCCACCCUUCUAGCAGUUCGUGCUGGAGGUCAGGUUCCUCGAGGGGUUGUGGGCGUAGCUCGGACUGGCGGCCACCAAGCCUUUAUGUGCUCAAUAGUUAGUCUUUCUUGAACUUAUAAAAUCCGUUCUUGAGGUCCGUGCUGAAUGUUUAUUGAUGUCACACAAUGACUUUAGAUUUGUCGACGGUGAUAGCGAAGACGUCCUAGUAGUCUUCGUUCGAGCACGUGUAGAAGAACUGUGACUCGGAAAACUCGUACGGAAACCUGGUUUCCCGUUCGCAUUUGCCGGUUUUGAUAGGUCAGAACUAAUACUUAGAGAUUAUUUCUUUCGACUACUAAGAGUUCUACGCAAACUCCUUUUUGUACGAAGUAGUUUCAAUGGUUUCCUACUUCUCGUUCUACCGAAUUCCCUAGAUCAAUCCGUAUUAUACAAACUCUUCCCUGUUUCGUUUUCUUAAACCCCACUUGAAAUAUUUCAAGAACUGAGAAGUCUACAACAACACGUCCACAACCUACGGUCCCUAGGUUACCCGUGCUCUACGAUGGUAGACCUCUUUGUAGACUUCCUCUUACGGUUCGUGUUUGUGGACCAUAAGAAUGAUUUAUUCACACUAGAUUAUGGACGAACCCGUUGUUUUCCCACCAACGCAUGAGAUAGCUCCCUGAUAGGGUGGGAUCGUAAGGUACGUUCGUAGUUGUUCAGUAAACCUUUUCCUAGAGAAGAUAGUCAUAAUUCCGUCAAACGGGCAAACUCCUCACUGUUCGUUCGGUAUAGACAACCUAAACAACCUAUAGGGUUGCAACCCUUCAGGAGUCAAUAGUUAUGUAAUGCGAGGUUCUGACAAACGUUCCAUCGAGGCUAAGGACCUCUCUGAUUCCACACCGUUAUGUAGUGGUACUGAUUUUCUUAGAAGAAUUAACUAACGGGACCCCAACACAUGGUUUUGUUACUAUGUCUCUGACUACAUCAAGAAUUCCCACACCAUGCCCACUGUUUAAACCUACUACGAAGACUCGUGUAACCCCUUCAAGAUUNNNNNNNNNNNNNCCGACUACUAUUACUAAAAGAGCAGGUCGACUCGUUCUACUCACCUUUCGAUGAAUUCCCACCCCUUGGACUAGACUGUUGUCGUCGGUUCUACCAUGAAGUACUGACCGUCUCCCCGUUCUAUGGGAAAAAACACGGAGGCGGCGUCGUCUUACUUCUACCAGGAAGAUUCUAAUGACUUGGACACCUCCCUAGACCACUCCUUCACCAGUCGUCACUGGCCCGACGACGACGGUACUUUCGGUAACGCCCUUAAUAGAGAAGCGUCGUUUGAUACUUACAGGGGACGGUCUUCCUUGAACCGUCUUUACCGCUUCUGUCACUUGAGGGCCUCGUUAGUCUGGAAAACCAUUUUCUCACUUUCCCAUCGUUAGGACGUACUCUUCUAGGGACCAUAAAAACGGGCGUUUGUAGAAGUACUCACGGUCGCUUCAAUAAGUGACAAACGGUACUUCCUGUGUCAAUGCGUCCCCCCUGUUAGGAAACUAUACAUAGCAAGUACAAUAGACAUCGAAAGAUUACCUAAUCCAUCUCGCACCAACCGUAGAUGUAGUUUUGAACAGAAAACAAGUGGAGUUCAAGAUCAACCUAAAGUGUGGGACAAAAUAUGUAUCUAUUUAUGGUAAACCAAGUUUUACGUUGAAGACGUUCAUACGGAAAGAUUAAAAACAAAAGGUGAACUACAACUGUAUGCACCUAGACCCAAUGGGAAUGGAAUACUAUG
rnacentral:rRNA from 1 species